UGGUAACUUACCUGGCCUUGUUUU
rnacentral:piRNA from 1 species